AUUGAACGCUGGCGGCAGGCCUAACACAUGCAAGUCGAACGGUAGCACAGAGAGCUUGCUCUCGGGUGACGAGUGGCGGACGGGUGAGUAAUGUCUGGGAAACUGCCUGAUGGAGGGGGAUAACUACUGGAAACGGUAGCUAAUACCGCAUAACGUCGCAAGACCAAAGAGGGGGACCUUCGGGCCUCUUGCCAUCAGAUGUGCCCAGAUGGGAUUAGCUAGUAGGUGGGGUAACGGCUCACCUAGGCGACGAUCCCUAGCUGGUCUGAGAGGAUGACCAGCCACACUGGAACUGAGACACGGUCCAGAGUCCUACGGGAGGCAGCAGUGGGGAAUAUUGCACAAUGGGCGCAAGCCUGAUGCAGCCAUGCCGCGUGUAUGAAGAAGGCCUUCGGGUUGUAAAGUACUUUCAGCGGGGAGGAAGGCAGUACGGUUAAUAACCGUGUUGAUUGACGUUACCCGCAGAAGAAGCACCGGCUAACUCCGUGCCAGCAGCCGCGGUAACAC
rnacentral:rRNA from 1 species